rnacentral:rRNA from 1 species
AACGAACGCUGGCGGCAGGCCUAACACAUGCAAGUCGAGCGCGCCCUUCGGGGUGAGCGGCGGACGGGGGAGUAACGCGUGGGAACGUGCCCUUCUCUGCGGAAUAGCCUCGGGAAACUGAGAGUAAUACCGCAUACGAUCCCUGGGGGAAAGAUUUAUCGGAGAAGGAGCGGCCCGCGUUGGAUUAGGUAGUUGGUGGGGUAAUGGCCCACCAAGACGACGAUCCAUAGCUGGUUUGAGAGGAUGAUCAGCCACACUGGGACUGAGACACGGCCCAGCCUCCUACGGGAGGCAGCAGUGGGGGAUCUUAGACAAUGGGGGCAACCCUGAUCUAGCCAUGCCGCGUGAGUGAUGAAGGCCUUAGGGUUGUAAAGCUCUUUCAGCUGGGAAGAUAAUGACGUUACCAGCAGAAGAAGCCCCGGCUAACUCCGUG